ensembl:lncRNA
GGGAUAUAUAGUUUAAUUAAUGUAACAGCUCCAGGUUAACUGUUGAAGGGGAUAUAUAGUUUAAUUGAUAUAACAACUCCAGGUUAACUGUUGAAGGGGAUAUAUAGUUUAAUUAAUAUAACAGCUCCAGGUUAACUGUUGAAGGGGAUAUAUAGUUUAAUUAAUGUAACAGCUCCAGGUUAACUGUUGAAGGGGAUAUAUAGUUUAAUUGAUAUAACAACUCCAGGUUAACUGUUGAAGGGGAUAUAUAGUUUAAUUAAUGUAACAGCUCCAGGUUAACUGUUGAAGGGGAUAUAUAGUUUAAUUGAUAUUACAGCUCCAGGUUAACUGUUGUCAUGACGUUGGCC